CUGACAUGGGGACGGAAGGCUGGUGAAUGAUGUUCAGGGACAUUCAUUUAGAAGCACCCUGCAGGAGGCAUGUCACACACCUGGACUCAAGACUCGGGGACCAUGAGUGGUACUUGAAGGCACUGGAUCUUUGAGCAAUAUUACACAGCAGAUAAAACCAUCAGGCUAAGUCAAGAGAAAGAACAGUAGAAGCAGGUCCUGCUCCGUGAUGCCUGCGGCUGUGGGUAGGCGAGACCCUCAGUGCUGGGCCCUCUGGGACUGUCGUCAGUGCUUCGUAUGCAAUGCUCUCCACCAAGCUACAGGUCCGAAAGGGGCAGCUUUUAUUCCCGUUGACUACUGGAGGAAGCUGAUGCCCAACGAGAUGGAGGAUGUCGCAAUCUGAGUUCUCACGGAUGGCUCCAGUAGUCCGGGGGUGUUGCUUGGUUGGGAAAGGGAGGAAUGAAUGAACGAAUUGAUGAAAUGUUGUCUGUGCUUUGGAAUAGGGCCCGUGUCCGAGUCCUGGUGAAAACAAGGUUGUGGCUAACCCAGACUCUCUCCACC